rnacentral:rRNA from 1 species
GACGGAGGGUGCAAGCGUUACUCGGAAUCACUGGGCGUAAAGCGUACGUAGGCGGCUUGUCAAGUUGGAUGUGAAAUCCCACAGCUCAACUGUGGAACUGCGUCCAAAACUGACAAGCUCGAGAACAGUAGGGGACAGUGGAACUCAAGGUGGAGCGGUGAAAUGCGUAGAGAUCUUGAGGAACACCGGUGGCGAAAGCG